rnacentral:rRNA from 1 species
AACAAUACAGGACUUUUUGGUUUUGUAAUUGGAAUGAGUUAAGUAUAAACCCCUUUACAAGUAUCAAUUGGAGGGCAAGUCUGGUGCCAGCAGCCGCGGUAAUUCCAGCUCCAAUAGCGUAUAUUAAAGUUGUUGCAGUUAAAAAGCUCGUAGUUGGAUUUCUGUUAAUAAUUUAUAUAAAAUAUUUUGAUGAAUAUUUAUAUAAUAUUAACAUAAUUCAUAUUACUAUAUAUUUUAGUAUAUGAAAUUUUACUUUGAGAAAAUUAGAGUGCUUAAAGCAGGCAUAUGCCUUGAAUACUCCAGCAUGGAAUAAUAUUAAAGAUUUUUAUCUUUCUUAUUGGUUCUAAGAUAAGAAUAAUGAUUAAUAGGGACAGUUGGGGGCAUUUGUAUUUAACAGUCAGAGGUGAAAUUCUUAGAUUUGUUAAAGACAAACUAAUGCGAAAGCAUUUGCCAAGGAUGUUUUCAUUAAUCAAGAACGAAAGUUAGGGGAUCGAAGACGAUCAGAUACCGUCGUAGUCUUAACCAUAAACUAUGCCAACUAGAGAUUGGAGGUUGUUC